rnacentral:misc_RNA from 1 species
UUAACUAUUGUAUAUAGCUCAGACGAAAAUAAAAUUCAAGAGUUUUGGGUCCUCUGGCGAGCACUCACCAGCGCAAAGCCGGUGGCUGAGGCGGCUCGCCAAAGCAACAAAGGUAUUAAAUAACAUAGGGUUGGAGAGUCACCCGUGGGGGCAAUAUUCUCUGUAAUGAUCCUUCCGCAGGUUCACCUACGGAAA